GUCUUUCUACCACACACUCCUUUCUACAGUCAUGGGUUAAAUGAGGGUGCCAUGGAAUGGGUCAUCCAGUGUACACUGACAUCAGGAGGAGAUUCACAUUCAUACACUCACGGCAAAUGGUUCUGUUGCUCCCUGGUCCAAAGAUGAUCUUAAUAGUAGGAAAAACUCAUUUGGCAGAAGCAAGACUCAGCACACAGGCUCCCUCCCUGAGUCUUCUGUGGCUGGCCUUGCCCUGCCCUCCCCUCCCCAACCCCACUGGCAGAAUAAAGUCGGGGCUGUGAGGACUGAGCCCCAGGCCUUGACAGGCACCCGCAGCCGGCCGAACUCCCACCUGCCCAGUUGGAGGGGUGCGAGAAGGCCUUGCUGCUCUGCACCACCUUCAUGGCCUCCCCCAGGGCAGCACUGGCUUUCAGGCCGUUCAGCAGGGAUGAGUAGAAGGCAUGGAUGAACAUCUUAGAAGCAGCCACUGGCACAGGCCACAGAGACACGAGGACACACUGAGCGCCGGCAGCCAGGAAGGCCCUUGUCAGCGCGAUGACCCCGUCGGCUGUGACUUUGCUGUUGGACUCCUGGGAGGAGCCAAGCACCACCAGCUUCACAGGCAGCUGCAGGUCCAGGACGUCGGCGGCAGUGCCUAACUUACUGAGAAUCAUGCCUGCUGUGAUGAGCCCUUGGAAACCAUCAGGACUGGAUGGUAGGGGUCCUGAGAGGAUUGGGGGAGGAGGCCUUGAUAUGACAGAGUGGACAGAGGCUGUGGAACCCAGGACGGCCAGCCUGCUCCACAAUCCUCAUCCCCACAGACCUUCAUGUGUGGCUCCUAAAUAAGAGGAAACCCACUCCUGAUAAGUCAGGGGCUUUGAAAAGUGAUUUUGUUUAAAUGGUGCAAACAAGCAAGCCAAUCUUGGGGAGACAGGGCUAAACUAAGUCCUUUAAGAAGCUCUACAUACUGACAAG
rnacentral:lncRNA from 1 species